GCGAAGGCAGCGUACCGGCGCCAGACUGACGCUGAGGCACGAAAGCGUGGGGAUCGAACAGGAUUAGAUACCCUGGUAGUCCACGCAGUAAACGAUGAAUGCUGGUUGUCCGGGUCGAAUGAGAUCUGGGCGACGAAGCGAAAGCGAUAAGCAUUCCACCUGGGGAGUACGCCGGCAACGGUGAAACUCAAAGGAAUUGACGGGGGCCCGCACAAGCGGAGGAACAUGUGGUUUAAUUCGAUGAUACGCGAGGAACCUUACCCGGGCUCAAACGGGAGCGGAAUGGACCAGAGACGGUUCAGCCUACGGGCCGCUUCCGAGGUGCUGCAUGGUUGUCGUCAGCUCGUGCCGUGAGGUGUCGGCUUAAGUGCCAUAACGAGCGCAACCCCCGCCAGCAGUUGCUAACGGGCAAUGCCGAGGACUCUGCCGGGACUGCCGCCGCAAGGCGAGGGGAAGGCGGGGAUGACGUCAAAUCAGCACGGCCCUUACGUCCGGGGCGACACACGUGUUACAAUGGGCGGUACAGCGGGAAGCCAGGCGGCGACGCCGAGCGGAACCCGAAAGCCGUUCUCAGUUCGGAUCGGAGUCUGCAACCCGACUCCGUGAAGCUGGAUUCGCUAGUAAUCGCGCAUCAGCCAUGGCGCGGUGAAUACGUUCCCGGGCCUUGUACACACCGCCCGUCAAGCCAUGGGAGCCGGGGGUGCUUGAAGUGCGUCGCCGCGAGGCGCGCCCUAGAGCAAAACCGGUGACUGGGGCUAAGUCGUAACAAGGUAACCGUAA
rnacentral:rRNA from 1 species